rnacentral:rRNA from 1 species
CAGUCGACGCGAGGGCCCAUUGAUACUAAGGAAGUGGAUAGUGCUUGCACUAGAAAUGGAAUUAGUUUGAAGUGGAUUUUCCCUCGAGUGGCAAACGGGUGAGUAACACGUGGGUUACCUGCCUCUAUGUUGGGGAUAACAGUUGGAAACGAUUGCUAAUACCGAAUGUGCUCUUCAGAGUAAAGAAGCCUUUAAAGCUUCGCGUAGAGAUGGGCCUGCGGUGCAUUAGCUUGUUGGUGGGGUAAUGGCCUACCAAGGCAACGAUGCAUAGCCGAGCUGAGAGGUUGAUCGGCCACACUGGGACUGAGACACGGCCCAGACUCCUACGGGAGACAGCAGUUAGGAAUAUUCGUCAAUGGGGGAAACCCUGAACGAGCAAUGCCGCGUGUGUGAUGAAGGCCCUAUGGGUUGUAAAACACUGUUGUUUGGAAAGAAUUGUAUAAGUAGGAAAUGACUUAUACUUGACGGUACCAUUCAAGAAAGCCACGGCUAACUACGUGCCAGCAGCCGCGGUAAUACGUAGGUGGCGAGCGUUAUCCGGAUUUAUUGGGCGUAAAGCGUGCGCAGGCGGUUUGUUAAGUCUAAAAUAAAAGCCCGAAGCCUAACUUCGGUUCGUUUUAGAAACUGGCAGACUCGAGUAUGGUAGAGGCAAAUGGAAUUUCUAGUGUAGCGGUAAAAUGCGUAGAUAUUAGAAGGAACACCAGUGGCGAAGGCGAUUUGCUGGGCCAUAACUGACGCUCAUGCACGAAAGCGUGGGGAGCAAAUAGGAUUA